UGGGGAAUUUUGGACAAUGGGCGAAAGCCUGAUCCAGCAAUGCCGCGUGUGUGAAGAAGGCCUUCGGGUUGUAAAGCACUUUUGUCCGGAAAGAAAUCCUUGGCUCUAAUACAGUCGGGGGAUGACGGUACCGGAAGAAUAAGCACCAGCUAACUACGUGCCAGCAGCCGCGGUAAUACGUAGGGUGCAAGCGUUAAUCGGAAUUACUGGGCGUAAAGCGUGCGCAGGCGGUUUGCUAAGACCGAUGUGAAAUCCCCGGGCUCAACCUGGGAACUGCAUUGGUGACUGGCAGGCUAGAGUAUGGCAGAGGGGGGUAGAAUUCCACGUGUAGCAGUGAAAUGCGUAGAGAUGUGGAGGAAUACCGAUGGCGAAGGCAGCCCCCUGGGCCAAUACUGACGCUCAUGCACGAAAGCGUGGGGAGCAAACAGGAUUAGAUACCCUGGUAGUCCACGCCCUAAACGAUGUCAACUAGUUGUUGGGGAUUCAUUUCCUUAGUAACGUAGCUAACGCGUGAAGUUGACCGCCUGGGGAGUACGGUCGCAAGAUUAAAAGCUCAAAGGAAUUGACGGGGUCAUAGCUGUUUUCCUG
rnacentral:rRNA from 1 species